GGGGCUGCAUUUAUCUUCAAGUUUGUAAGCAGUGAUAAUCAUGUUUUGUUUUGUUUUGUUUUUUUGUACAGUAAGUACAAAACGUUAUUUUUACGUGAGAUCUGAAUUUCACCUCCAUGAUCACAGAGGAGCUGGAGCCCAUCCUGGCAAGCAAUGAGUGAAAGUUCCUGAUGGCUGAAAGCAUGCAGACAGAAAGACUCUUCAAAAUGCUCUGUUGCCCAACUGCAAAGAAUUUCAGAGCAGUGCAAAUAGAAAAUAUAGGUAACCAUUUCUUCUUUUUUAUUGCCCUUCUGAAACUCAUUCAACUUUGGUAACCAUUACCCAGAAUGCCAGUAAAAACAGGUUAAUAGGUGACUUAGGGCAGUGAU